UGUCUUGAAACACGGACCAAGGAGUCUAACAUCUAUGCGAGUAUAUGGGUGUCAAACCCACGUGCGCAAUGAAAGUGAACGGAGGUAAGAACCCUGAAGGGUGCAUUAUCGACCGAUCCUGAUGUCUUCGGAUGGAUUUGAGUAAGAGCAUAGCUGUUAGGACCCGAAAGAUGGUGAACUAUGCGUGAAUAGGGUGAAGCCAGAGGAAACUCUGGUGGAGGCUCGCAGCGGUUCUGACGUGCAAAUCGAUCGUCAAAUUUGCGCAUAGGGGCGAAAGACUAAUCGAACCAUCUAGUAGCUGGUUCCUGCCGAAGUUUCCCUCAGGAAACCCGCUGAACUUA
rnacentral:rRNA from 1 species